rnacentral:rRNA from 1 species
GACGAACGCUGGCGGCGUGCUUAACACAUGCAAGUCGAACGGAAAGGCCCUGCUUUUGUGGGGUGCUCGAGUGGCGAACGGGUGAGUAACACGUGAGUAACCUGCCCUUGACUUUGGGAUAACUUCAGGAAACUAGGGCUAAUACCGGAUAGGAGCUCCUGCUGCAUGGUGGGGGUUGGAAAGUUUCGGCGGUGGGGGAUGGACUCGCGGCUUAUCAGCUUGUUGGUGGGGUAGUGGCUUACCAAGGCUUUGACGGGUAGCCGGCCUGAGAGGGUGACCGGCCACAUUGGGACUGAGAUACGGCCCAGACUCCUACGGGAGGCAGCAGUGGGGAAUAUUGCACAAUGGGCGGAAGCCUGAUGCAGCAACGCCGCGUGCGGGAUGACGGGCUUCGGGUUGUAAACCGCUUUCGCCUGUGACGAAGCGUGAGUGACGGUAAUGGGUAAAGAAGCACCGGCUAACUACGUG